UAAAGCGGCGAAGGCGGUGAACAGAAAUCGCGAUUGGUUGUCGCCGCCGUGGAUCCACCGCCAUGGAAACAAGAAAUUGAGAGAAUCGGCGAGACUUUGGAGGAAAUCGGAGGUGGGUUCCAUGGCGGAAUGGGAAAUAUCGACGGAGGCCGGCGUCGUUUUAAGCGAUUGGAAUUGGGCACAAUAAAUUGAAAUUGUGUUUCAGACAAGACAGAUGAGGAACCUAUGGCCGUGCCUUAACCUCUUAGAAGGAAUCAAUCUUUUUAUCGUUUUGUUUUAUUUUGCCUCUAACGUACUUCAAUCUUCCGUUUUAUUCCGGGGAAAUUGGGGUUUUUGACCCCACCAAUAGUUUUAAACUCCUUUUAAAAAACCUAAUUUUUCAUCCCACUCCUACUUAAUUUUAAACUCAUCUUUAGUGAAAAGACGAAUAUACCUUUAUUUAUGAUGCAUUAACUUCCCCAUUAACUUCCACCCAAUCAUUUCAUCAAACUUUUAACCUCAUAUUUUACUUAUGUUUUGAGUUUGAAACAAUCCAAAAUUUUCACACCAUCCAAACUCUUCACAAAUCACGUUUUUUAAAAUCCGAGAAAGAAACAUUGCCACGUGUUUGAUCAUUGUCCCCACACUAUCUAAAAUCGUUGUCCCACAUUUUCACAUUUGAAGAGUUAGAGGUUGCCUCGUGUUUUCAUAACAUUUGGUGGAGAAUGGAACGAUAGUGAAAAAGAUUACGUUGGUGGUCGCACGAGAGGAUUGACAGUGGAUAGUACAACCACGUACAGAGAAUUUCUAGGUCACAUGUAUAGAUUGAGUAAUAUAAACCCCCUUCAGUUCGAUAUUAUAAUUAGACGCGUAUAUCAUUUUAAAACUAAAGUUUGUGUAAUGGAGAUAACUGAUGACGA